CGCGACCCCAGGUCAGACGGGACUACCCGCUGAGUUUAAGCAUAUAAAUAAGCGGAGGAGAAGAAACUUACAAGGAUUCCCCUAGUAACGGCGAGCGAACCGGGAACAGCCCAGCUUGAGAAUCGAGUAGCUCACUACUCGAAU
rnacentral:rRNA from 1 species